rnacentral:lncRNA from 1 species
GAAGAAUAAGGAUCAAACCAGAUCAAAAUAUUUAUAUCUUUGUAAGCAGGCAUGUUCUGGGGUGCACUUUACAGUUCUGAAAAUAGUCACAAACCUUAGUUUCCUCCUGUAGGGGCUGCAACCAUACUACUGUAGUCUGAAGAGAAACCAGAGGGUGACAGGCAUUAGGAGCACUGCUGUGUGUAUCUCACAUAGGGCAACCAAGACAUUACGACUUCAUGAAGACCCUGCAGAGCACACCUGCUUCAGAACCCCCUGAUGAAUACCAUCUGGUUCAAGUGAUUUACUACACUUGCAUUUCAUGAGCUGCGCCGCGACAUCCCAAAUUAAGACAAGGA